AGAGAUCAACAGGCACUGCAUGGCCCGCAGGCUGUGCAGCUCCUCCUGCCCAGGGCUUCAGAGCUUGCUCCAGCUUACUCCUCGAAGCCACAGGACCAGUCUAUGUUAUUGUCCUGGCCACUUUCAGACUCUCAUUUUGCAGCUACUGGAAUUCCGGAGGUGAGCGCUGCAGCUGCUGAUCAGGCCCAUUCCCAGGUUCUCCGGGAAGGGAGCAAAGCGGGAGGCGGCACGCUCCUUUGUCUUCCACUGGCUGAAUGCCAAAAUCCUUCACGCUACCAGUCUCUGCGAACUCCAGGUAGAAGUAGCCACACUUGACUGCCCGGUGCACCUCAAAGCAGAAUCCCAAACAAGAAUCCUCUAUCAGGUCUACGUAAAUCUCCUGAGCGAUGGCCUCUAGCUUGUUA
rnacentral:lncRNA from 1 species